rnacentral:rRNA from 1 species
AAUGAACGUUGGCGGCAUGGAUUAGGCAUGCAAGUCGGGGGAAUCCCGCAAGGGGGAACCGGCGUAAGGGGCAGUAAGGCAUGGGUACCUACCUUUGGGUUCGGGAUAGCCAUCAGAGAUGGUGGGUAAUACCGGAUGACGUCGUGAGACCAAAGAUUUAUCGCCCUUAGAGGGGCCCAUGUGAUAUUAGCUAGUUGGUGAGGUAACGGCUCACCAAGGCGAAGAUGUCUAGCGGGUGUGAGAGCACGACCCGCGCCACUCGCACUGAGACACUGGCGAGACACCUACGGGUGGCUGCAGUCGAGGAUCUUCGGCAAUGGGCGCAAGCCUGACCGAGCGAUGCCGCGUGAGCGAUGAAGGCCUUCGGGUUGUAAAGCUCUUUAGUGGGGGAGAAAAGCCGAAAGGUGUGAUCUAUCCCAAAAAUAAGCUCGGGCUAAGUUCGUGCCAGCAGCCGCAGUAAAAC